GGCUGAACCGGUAUAUUUUCGUUUGUUGUCGGGCGGCUCGUGUAGUGCCUUUGCCUCGCCAGGCAAAGAGCCAAGCGGAGGAGACUACGGGCAGAGGCCCGUGUUGCUUGCCUGUCCUCCUUUCAGAACGGAAUGGGAGCGAAAAGCAGAGCUGUCGUUUCUCCCGCGCAGAGAAGUAGCCCACUGACUGGGCUGACAUGAAAAGAAGGGAGCUGCUUUGCUUGAGCUAUGUGUACGAAGGGAUUGUGAAUUGACAGAGUGGUUCCCUUUGAUGUGAAUGAAGCAAGUCCUGCCUUUCUGGGAUGCCUUAGGUGAUGCCCAGCUCUACUGCAAUGGCAAUUGAGGCUCUGUCUAGCUCCCUCCUUGUGACUUGCUGCCUAAUGUUUGCUCUCUGUAGCUCCACUGCACCUUUGCAAAAACUCACUCAAGACAAGCAGGAAAUAAAAACAAAUCAAGAAAAGCGGAACCACACAUCCGCCUGGGAGAACCAGAAUCAGACAGGACCUGGGAAAAUGAAUGAAAUGAGCAGGAAUGGAAGAGAGGAGGGCAUCAGAGACUGGAAAAGCAAAGGUAACAGAAGUUAUUUUAACAAAGAAUCUUGGACUAAGCAAAAACAAGCUUUGAGCAGCCAGACAACAAGUGGCAAGUUUGGGAGCCUCCAAACCCAAGAACAGAUGGAGGUUGUUCAGGAAGGGUUUCUAGCUGCUGAAGAUUCUUCUUUCUUGGAUGUUGCUGGUAGUACCCCUGAACCUCCAGAGGAAUAUGCUUACCCAGACUACCGUGGAAAAGGCUGUGUGGAUGAGAGUGGCUUUGUUUAUGCGAUUGGGGAAAAGUUUACUCCAGGUCCAUCAGCAUGUCCUUGCCUUUGCACUGAAGAGGGUCCUCUAUGCAUUCAGCCAGAGUGUCCUAGACUCCACCCUCGCUGUAUUCAUGUUGACACCAGUCAGUGUUGUCCACAGUGCAAAGAAAGGAAAAACUACUGUGAGUUCCGGGGGGAAAUCUACCAGACACUGGAAGAAUUCACGAAAAUUUUCAGACUUUACGACACUGAUCAUUCUGGAACCAUUAACAGCUAUGAGAUGCGUAAUGCAGUUAAAGAUGCAGGGUUUCACCUGAGUAAUCAGUUGUAUGACAUCUGUAUGCUGACAGAAAUAUGAACAUUGAGUUUGACAGCUUCAUCUGUUGCUUUGUGUGACUGGGGGGAAUGUUCCUUGCUACAGCUCACCAUGUAUGCCUGAAAAAUGCCACCUCAACCUCAAAAUUACCCCGAUUUUUUGACUGAAAGAAGCCAGCCAACAUUCACUUGCAAGUCAAGGACCUCUGGUGAAUCUCUGUCCUUUAACUUAAUAUGGAGAAGGCAGCACAACUCAACAGCGAUAUACAAAAGCAGCAUCCCUUUCCCUUUACCAAAUGAUGGCCAACUGGAGAUCUACUUCAGUUAUUUAUAACUGACAUCAGCACUAAGGCAAAGUUAUCAGCUAUCAUUAUGAUGAGAAACAUAUUGUUCUAGUGCACAUUAGCAACUCUUGACACACAAGUGGGGAAUCUCAGGCUCGGGGGCAACAUGAGGUCCUUCAGGCCUAUCUGGUCCCCAAGCAACACAUCACCUGUAUUCUGCUUAAAUGCUUUUCCCUGGCUGGAACCUGUCCAUGAACUGUGGUAAUGUCUUGGUUGCCUUGACAGAGCAUGGAGAGAUGUGUCUGGGAACGUGUGUAGAAAUCUGACUUGCAUGCUUGAAAUGUAGAUAGUGUAUACAAAAAGGUAAGAGUCACACCCAUUGUGUCACCCACUUUUUCCUUCUGGUCCCACGCACCACUGGCAUGUAGCCCCAGAUGUUUGCCAUCAAGAAAUGCGGCCCUCUGCAUGACAACUUCCUUGAAAGCCAUAGCUAUUUUUGUUUGCUUGAAAGAUUUUGUAUUGAGAGAUCCUAAGGGGCGAGGAAUGUUGAAAAAGUUAUCACUAUUAAAACAGAUAUUUCAA